rnacentral:misc_RNA from 1 species
AACCUUUGCUGUCUUGGGACGGAUCACCACUGCAAGAGGGGAAGUUGCUACUGUGAUGAAUUCUGCCAUGUGGCACCAGACUGCCACCCAGACCACAGUGUCCUCUGCAACCCUGGUAACUCACAUACAGGCCCGAUUCCACCGACAGCAAAGCUGGAUGCUAUGGCUGGCAGAGGCAAACCCUUUGCCUGCACUUCAGGCCAAAGCCGGGAUGUGGCCUAGAUGGUUCCUAAGGUCCCUGACAAUCCUGAGAUCUUGCAUCUUGUCUAUUUCAGGUCAAAGGUGCCUACAUGCUCCUUCUAGCUUUGUUUCCCUGAUGUUCCUUGCCACCUGCUACUCCUCUCUGAGCUACUUUUCCAGGUUCCACAGGGAGAGGUUCAGCUGUCCGUGGUAGACAUGAGGGUAGAGAGUGAGGUGGUUGGGUUCCACUUACCUUUCUAUCAUCUUGCAGUAUGGAUGUCUCUUGACUGGUACCGUGUAGACUUUUGAGGGCACACAGGAGUCUGCAGAGAGAUACUGGGGACAUUGAGCAGCAGCAGUGGGGUUGGGAGGCAGAAAUGAGGACAGGAACAUUUACCUUGUGUUUCUCUCAGCUUCUCAGAUGACCAAGAUGGUGCUGCAGAUGGUGCUGAGGAUGGAGAACCCACCAAGCCCCGCUAGGAGCCACCUAGACUGGAUGCAGAGCAUGGCUAAAACCUUUGAAGAAGAAUUUAUUAUAUCCUACAAACCUGGGAGGCAGAGGUUGCAGUGAACUGGGAUUGUGCCACUGCACUCCAGCCCAGGCGACAGAGCAAG